rnacentral:rRNA from 1 species
GCGGCCUAUCAGCUUGUUGGUGGGGUAAUGGCCUACCAAGGCGACGACGGGUAGCCGGCCUGAGAGGGUGUACGGCCACAUUGGGACUGAGACACGGCCCAGACUCCUACGGGAGGCAGCAGUGGGGAAUAUUGCACAAUGGGCACAAGCCUGAUGCAGCGACGCCGCGUGGGGGAUGAAGGCCUUCGGGUUGUAAACUCCUUUCGCUAGGGAAGAAGCCUUUUUGGUGACGGUACCUGGAUAAGAAGCACCGGCUAACUACGUGCCAGCAGCCGCGGUAAUACGUAGGGUGCGAGCGUUGUCCGGAAUUACUGGGCGUAAAGAGCUCGUAGGUGGUUUGUCGCGUCGUCUGUGAAAUCCCGGGGCUUAACUUCGGGCGUGCAGGCGAUACGGGCAUAACUAGAGUGCUGUAGGGGAGACUGGAAUUCCU